rnacentral:snRNA from 1 species
UUAGAUGUGAUACCUGUCACCCCAUGGAUCACUAGGGUUGUUGAUUCAGCUAAUCCGGUUGGCGAGGUGGGUGUGCCCUU